GUUAGUGUGUGUGAGUGUUGGAGUGAGUGAGUGUAAGAGUGAGUGUUAGUGUGUGUGAGUGUUGGAGUUAGUGUGUGUGAGUGUUAUAAAAAAGAUCUUUCUUUAAAGUACCUUCUGUUACUAAUGCAAGGAACAGUAAAAAGCUUUGCUAGUAAGGAGCAUCUCAUUCUGCUCUAGGCAACGGAAUAGGCUGCAGAGGACACUGUGGAAGUGUUGGGUCUGCCCGUCAAAGAGCCAGGUCCAUUCUUACAAAGGGUGGCCAGGUUCAGUGACAGUUUGCCCCUUCAGGGUAGACCACGCUUGGAGCACUGUUUAUGAUGUUUGUAAAAAUAUUAGAUAUCUAUCUAUUGAUCUUUUAGCAAUGACAUAAUAUUCUGGGGUAUCUAUAAACGAACCCCAGGUCUGCGGGCCCUGCAGCCUCUCUCCAUAAUUAAUUAGCAGUAUAGCUAGAGAGGUUUCUCUCUAGCUGUCCUUACCUGACGCAUCACAUUAGAUCACCACCAAUGUCAUCUGAGCUCCCAGUGAGCUCUAUAUAAACUGUGCAGAUGGUAGAAUCGCAAUAAGAGAAUGCUGUGAGUUACAACCAACUGCCAUGUCAAAC